GUAAAGUACACAAAGAAGGAAAAUAUGCAAGUAAAUAAUGGCAUUUAGUGUUGUUUAUGUGUCUAAUAUUUGUACUAGAUUGUAAAAGUUAUAAAAUUCUAUUAGCUUUUUUAAAUUGAGAUGCUUCUUUGCACCCAAAUGGUUAAAGCCCUAGUGUGACUUUGGUACUUUGAUCUAACUUCUAUUCCUAAUAAAUAAUCCAGCUGCAUACAGUUUACUCAAUUUCUGCCAUGUGUAAGGAGCUGUUCUCAAAACAUUGGGUGACAAAGAAUUCACUUUUACAAAAAUCGAGCAGGAUAUUAAAGACAGCGAACUAUAGAACAAAUAUGGCGAAGCUGCAUGAAGUCUAUGUUGAAUUUUAUUAUUGAAAAAAAUAUGCUCUUCAGAUUUAAUGUUAGUUUUUAUUGUUUAACAGUAAUUGCAGUUUUCGAAUACCUGUAAAAUAAACCUAAUUCUUAAAUUAA